UAGCCCUGUGGUUUGAUGACAAUGGAGC
rnacentral:piRNA from 1 species